UGGAACUGGAUGGACUGAGGGGCAGAAGGAGGGGAGUGGAAAUUCUCAGUGUAGCGGUGAAUGGGUAGAUAUUCGGAGGAACACCAGUGGCGAAGGCGGCUUCUCUGGCCUGUUUCUGACGCUGAGGCGGCGAAAGCGUGGGGGAGCAAACGGGAUUAGAUACCCCGGUAGUCCACGCGGUAAACGAUGGGUGCUAGUGGUAGGAGGUAUCGACCCCUUCUGUGCCGUAGUUAACACAAUAAGCACCCCCGCCUGGGGAGUACGGCCGCAAGGUUGAAACUCAAAGGAAUUGACGGGGGCCCGCACAAGCGGUGGAGCAUGUGGUUUAAUUCGACGCAACGCGAAGAACCUUACCAGGGCUUGACAUCCUCUGACCGCAUAUGAAAGUAUGUUUUCUGGCUUCGGUCAGACAGAGAGACAGGUGGUGCAUGGUUGUCGUCAGCUCGUGUCGUGAGAUGUUGGGUUAAGUCCCGCAACGAGCGCAAC
rnacentral:rRNA from 1 species